GAUGCCUACCAAGCAGCUUGUAAUCAGAAGGCUCACCUGCAUUUCUCCAUUCAGUGCAGCAAUUGCACUAGGCAGUGAGAUGUCCGGUGGCAUUCAAGAUGUCAGGGCAGAAGAUAUCACAGCUAUUGAUACAGAAUCAGGUGUUAGGAUCAAGACUUCUGUAGGAAGAGGAGGUUAUGUAAAGGAGAUAUAUGUGAGGAGGAUGACAAUGAAAACAAUGAAAUGGGUAUUUUGGAUGACAGGAAAUUAUGGCUCUCAUCCUGACAAUAACUAUGAUCCAAAUGCAAUUCCUGAGAUUAAGAAUAUCAACUAUCGUGACAUGGUUGCCGAGAAUGUAACAAUGGCAGCUAAACUGGAGGGCAUUGCUGGUGACCCGUUCACUGGAAUCUGCAUGUCUAAUGUGACCAUUGGGCUCACACGAAAGCCGAAGAAGCUUCAAUGGAAUUGCACUGAAAUUGCAGGGAUUUCGAGUGGUGUGACCCCAAAACCUUGUGACCUACUCCCAGACCAGGGGCCAGGGGAGACUGCAUCGUGCAAUUUUCCUGAAGAUAGCUUGCCAAUAGAGAAUAUUGAGGUAAAGAUGUGCUCUUGGAGUAGGAAGAAUUUGUGACUCGGAACAAAGCUUCUGUACAGCGCAACUUAUUUUCUAUAUGUACUAUUAACAAUUUAGUGCGAACUUAAUCCACACAAUAUAUGAGGCCAUUGCAAUGACCUCGUGAUAUACCCACAAAUCUCCAUUAUAAUAAAGAAAAUAAGUUGCGCUGUACAGAAGCUU
rnacentral:misc_RNA from 1 species